rnacentral:rRNA from 1 species
GCAAUGUGGGUUUAAUUCGAAGCAACGCGGAAGAACCUUACCUAGACUUGACAUCCCCUGCAUAACCCAGAGAUGGGCGAAGUCCUUCGGGACAGGGUGACAGGUGGUGCAUGGUUGUCGUCAGCUCGUGUCGUGAGAUGUUGGGUUAAGUCCCGCAACGAGCGCAACCCUUAUCAUUAGUUGCUACCAUUAAGUUGAGCACUCUAGUGAGACUGCCCGGGUUAACCGGGAGGAAGGUGGGGAUGACGUUAAAUCAUCAUGCCCCUUAUGUCUAGGGCUACACACGUGCUACAAUGGUGAGUACAAAGAGAUGCAAGACCGCAAGGUGGAGCCAAACUCAAAAACUCAUCCCAGUUCGGAUUGUAGGCUGCAACUCGCCUACAUGAAGCCGGAGUUGCUAGUAAUCGCGAAUCAGCAUGUCGCGGUGAAUACGUUCCCGGGCCUUGUACACACCGCCCGUCACACCAUGAGAGUUGGUAACACCCGAAGUCCGUGAGGUAACCGUAAGGAGCCAGCGGCCGAAGGUGGGAUUGAUGAUUGGGGUGAAGUCGUAACAAGGUA